CCCGCUGGACGGGCAGCCGCCCUCGUCAGGGUGUAGCCCGGCGGGGGAGGAAAGUCCGGUCUCCGCAGGGCAGCGUGCCGGCUAACAGCCGGGGAGGCUCUCUCAGAAGGGAGUCUCACGGAAAGUGCCACAGAAAACAUACCGCCGGCGGCUAGGCCGCCGGUAAGGGUGAAAAGGUGCGGUAAGAGCGCACCGCGGUCCGGAGCAAUCCGACCGGCAGGGCAAACCCCACGCGGAGCAAGACCAAAUAGGAGAGCAGG
rnacentral:RNase_P_RNA from 1 species